GCCAGUUUGGCUCAGUGGUUGGAGCGUCGGCCUGUGGACUGAAGGGUCAUGGGUUCGAUUCCCAGUUAAGGGCA
rfam:Myotis lucifugus cont2.35962, whole genome shotgun sequence.